UACGGAGGGAGCUAGCGUUAUUCGGAAUUACUGGGCGUAAAGCGCACGUAGGCGGCUUUGUAAGUUAGAGGUGAAAGCCUGGAGCUCAACUCCAGAAUUGCCUUUAAGACUGCAUCGCUUGAAUCCAGGAGAGGUGAGUGGAAUUCCGAGUGUAGAGGUGAAAUUCGUAGAUAUUCGGAAGAACACCAGUGGCGAAGGCGGCUCUCUGGUACGUGACUGACGCUGAGACGCGAAAGCGUGGGGAGCAAACAGG
rnacentral:rRNA from 1 species